rnacentral:rRNA from 1 species
UCCGUAGGUGAACCUGCGGAAGGAUCAUUAAAGAGUAAGGGUGCUCAGCGCCCGACCUCCAACCCUUUGUUGUUAAAACUACCUUGUUGCUUUGGCGGGACCGCUCGGUUCCGAGCCGCUGGGGAUUCGUCCCAGGCGAGCGCCCGCCAGAGUUAAACCAAACUCUUGUUAUUAAACCGGUCGUCUGAGUUAAAAUUUUGAAUAAAUCAAAACUUUCAACAACGGAUCUCUUGGUUCUCGCAUCGAUGAAGAACGCAGCGAAAUGCGAUAAGUAAUGUGAAUUGCAGAAUUCGGUGAAUCAUCGAAUCUUUGAACGCACAUUGCGCCCCUUGGUAUUCCGAGGGGCAUGCCUGUUCGAGCGUCAUUACACCACUCAAGCUAUGCUUGGUAUUGGGUGCCGUCCUUAGUUGGGCGCGCCUUAAAGACCUCGGCGAGGCCACUCCGGCUUUAGGCGUAGUAGAAUUUAUUCGAACGUCUGUCAAAGGAGAGGAACUCUGCCGAUUGAAACCUUUAUUUUUCUAGGUUGACCUCGGAUCAGGUAGGGAUACCCGCUGAACUUAAGCAUAUCAAUAAGCGGAGGA